GUGGGGAAUAUUGGACAAUGGGUGAAAGCCUGAUCCAGCCAUGCCGCGUGUGUGAAGAAGGUCUUCGGAUUGUAAAGCACUUUAAGUUGGGAGGAAGGGCAGUAAGUUAAUACCUUGCUGUUUUGACGUUACCAACAGAAUAAGCACCGGCUAACUUCGUGCCAGCAGCCGCGGUAAUACGAAGGGUGCAAGCGUUAAUCGGAAUUACUGGGCGUAAAGCGCGCGUAGGUGGUUCAGCAAGUUGAAGGUGAAAUCCCCGGGCUCAACCUGGGAACUGCCUCCAAAACUGCAUGACUAGAGUACGGUAGAGGGUAGUGGAAUUUCCUGUGUAGCGGUGAAAUGCGUAGAUAUAGGAAGGAACACCAGUGGCGAAGGCGACUACCUGGACUGAUACUGACACUGAGGUGCGAAAGCGUGGGGAGCAAACAGGAUUAGAUACCCUUGUAGUCC
rnacentral:rRNA from 1 species